rnacentral:rRNA from 1 species
UACGUAGGUGGCAAGCGUUGUCCGGAUUUACUGGGCGUAAAGAGCGCGCAGGCGGUCGUUCAAGUCGCGUGUGAAAGCCCCCGGCUCAACUGGGGAGGGUCACGCGAUACUGAUCGACUCGAAGGCAGGAGAGGGUAGUGGAAUUCCCGGUGUAGCGGUGAAAUGCGCAGAGUAUCGGGAGGAACACCUAUGGCGAAGGCAGCUCGCUGGGACGUUACUGACGCUGAGACGCGAAAGCGUGGGGAGCAAACAGG